UACGUAGGGGGCUAGCGUUGUCCGGAAUCAUUGGGCGUAAAGCGCGCGUAGGCGGCCAGAUAAGUCCGGUGUGAAAGUCACAGGCUCAACCUGUGAAUGCCGCUGGAAACUGUCUGGCUAGAGUCCGGAAGGGGCGAGUGGAAUUCCUGGUGUAGCGGUGAAAUGCGCAGAUAUCAGGAGGAACACCAGUGGCGAAGGCGGUUCUCUGGGCAUUACCUGACGCUGAGGAGCGAAAGCGUGGGGAGCGAACAGG
rnacentral:rRNA from 1 species